rnacentral:tRNA from 1 species
GCCGAAGUGGUGGAAUUGGUAGACACGCUAGGUUCAGGGUCUAGUGGACGUAUGUCCAUGGGAGUUCGAGUCUCCCCUUCGGUACCA